rnacentral:rRNA from 1 species
UACGAAGGGGGCAAGCGUUGUUCGGAAUUACUGGGCGUAAAGGGCGCGUAGGCGGCUUAUCAAGUCAGGCGUGAAAUUCCCGGGCUCAACCUGGGGGCUGCGCUUGAUACUGAUUGGCUUGAAUGCGGGAGAGGAUAGUGGAAUUCCCAGUGUAGAGGUGAAAUUCGUAGAUAUUGGGAAGAACACCGGUGGCGAAGGCGGCUUUCUGGUCUGCUCUUGACGCUGAGGCGCGAAAGCUAGGGGAGCAAACGGG